rnacentral:rRNA from 1 species
CCCCGGCGCCCCGAGUGGUGUUCGCGAUUAUUGGGCCUAAAGCGUCCGUAGCCGGACGGGUAAAUCCUCUGUGAAAUCGUUGCGCUUAACGUAACGGCGCGCAGGGGAAACUGCUCGUCUCGAGACCGGGAAGGGUCAGAGGUAUGCCGUGGGGACUGGUAAAAUGGUAUAAUCCACGGUAGACCACCAAUGGCGAAGGCAUCUGACUGGAACGGAUCUGACGGUGAGGGACGAAAGCUGGGGGA